UACGGCCAUAUCACGUUGAAAGACCUGUUCGGGUACGAUCACUGAAGUUAUGCAACGUCGUUCCUGGUCAGUACUUAGAUGGGUGACCGCUUGGGAAUACUAUGUGCUGUAAU